rnacentral:misc_RNA from 1 species
UUUAUUGUACCUUGUUGCUUCGGCAGGCCCGCCUCACGGCCGCCGGGGGGCUUCUGGGGCCCGCGCCUGCCGGAGACAAUCUUGAACGCUGUCUGAAGAAUGCAGUCUGAGCGAUUAAGCAAAAUUAGUUAAAACUUUCAACAACGGAUCUCUUGGUUCCGGCAUCGAUGAAGAACGCAGCGAAAUGCGAUAAUUAAUGUGAAUUGCAGAAUUCAGUGAAUCAUCGAGUCUUUGAACGCACAUUGCGCUGGUAUUCCGGGGGGCAUGCCUGUCCGAGCGUCAUUGCUGCCCUCAAGCACGGCUUGUUUGUUGGGUCUUGUUCCCCCGGGAACAGGCCCGAAAGGCAGUGGCGGCACCGUCCGAUCCUCGAGCGUAUGGGGCUUUGUCACCCGCUCUGUAGGCCCGGCCGGCGCUUGCCGACCCCAAUCAAUCUUUUU